rnacentral:ncRNA from 1 species
CCUAUGGAGAGUUAAAACCACUUGAGUAGUUGCGACGAAAAAGAAUUCGAAGAAGUAGGAA